GGUUGUAGCUCAGUGGUAGAGUGCUUGCCUACCAUGUGCAAGGCACUGGGUUUGAUCCUCAGCACCA
rnacentral:tRNA from 1 species